rnacentral:rRNA from 1 species
ACGGAAGGCAGCAGUGGGGAAUAUUGGACAAUGGGGGAAACCCUGAUGCAGCAACGCCACGUGUGGGAAGAAGCAUUUCGGUGUGUAAACCACUGUCGUGAGGGAAUAAUGCUUGGUUUCGGCCAAGUUGAAUGUACCUCGAAAGGAAGCACCGGCAAACUUCGUGCCAGCAGCCGCGGUAAUACGAGGGGUGCAAGCGUUGUUCGGAAUCACUGGGCGUAAAGGGAGCGCAGGCGGAGAUGCAAGCAGUCUGUACAAUACCGGGGCCCAACCCCGGACCUGCAGACUGGACUGUUUCUCUUGGAUAGUUCAGGGGCAAGCGGAAUUCCUGGUGUAGCGGUGGAAUGCGUAGAGAUCAGGAAGAACACCGGUGGCGAAGGCGGCCUGCUGGACGAUAACUGACGUUCAGGCUCGAAAGCGUGGGGAGCAAACAGGAUUAGAUACCCUGGU